rnacentral:rRNA from 1 species
GGUGAAAGAUAGUCUGUGCGUCUCUAUCAGCUAGUUAGGUGAGGUAACGGGUCCCCCACGGCGACGAUGGGUAUGAGUUCUAAGAGGGAGAUACCGUACAUGAGUUAUGGACCAGAGUCCAGACUCGAGGCAGCAGUGACAAAUAUUGGUCAAUGGUAGGAAGACUGAUCCAGCCAUGCCGCGUGCAGGAAGACGGCCUUAUGGGUUGUAAACUGCUUUUGCAGGGGAAGAAUAAGGACUACGUGUAGUUUGAUGACGGUACUCUGCGAAUAAGCAUCGGCUAACUCCGUGCCAGCAGCCGCGGUAAUACGGAGGAUGCGAGCGUUAUCCGGAAUCAUUGGGUUUAAAGGGUCCGUAGGCGGGCUAAUAAGUCAGAGGUGAAAGCGCUCAGCUCAACUGAGCAACUGCCUUUGAAACUGUUAGUCUUGAAUGGUUGUGAAGUAGUUGGAAUGUGUAGUGUAGCGGUGAAAUGCUUAGAUAUUACACAGAACACCGAUAGCGAAGGCAUAUUACUAACAAUUAAUUGACGCUGAUGGACGAAAGCGUGGGGAGCGAACAGGAUU